AUGACUUUACCACUAGAAGGUUUCCUCAUUUCACAGGAUUGGUUUGUGUUGAGCCAGAUCUCACCAAGUUGCUUCUGUGGUGACUAUUUCUAUCUAAAGAUGCAUGGAUGCAUUUAUUUUUUCAGCUUGUUCUACCAGUAUCAACCUUUGUGUCCAAUAGCUGGGACAAAGAAAGAAGUUAAACCUCAUCAAAAUGAAAUAGUGCCUUAUAUGAGUGUUGAGCAGAAAGGCAAAAAACAUGAAAUGAGUUCAGAAGAACAUUGCAUGCCUCAAAAGAAGAUAAGCCUGGAAAGUAAACCUACGUUGUCUUUCCCAAAAUGA
rnacentral:lncRNA from 1 species